rnacentral:lncRNA from 1 species
UAAUUAUUUCAAAAUAUAUAGUUUCAAAAAACAAAAUACCCUUUUCUUUUGAACAAAAAAGAAUCAAAAACGAAACUAUCCAAUAAUUGUGCUUAGAGCAUUUCACUCCUAAUAGAUUAGGAUUUUAUUCAAUUAGGAACAUAUCAUAAAAAAAAUUCCUGGUCGGGUCAAUAAGAUCAUGAAAAGCAUUUCGAUUUAUUUAUCUCUUAUUUUACACAAAAUGGAUUUGCCUAGACCAAUACACGAUUUUCUUUUAGUUUUUCUGGGAU